CCCCGCCCAGCCCGCGGCCCGCACUCGGCGCGCCUGGCCCCGCCCCCCGCGGGCUUAACCCUCUAGCCGCUGGGCACGCGCGGGCUACCGGGGCGGAGGCGUACGGGGGCGGCGAGCGGGGCUCGGCUCCUCCUCGUCCCGCGCCAGCGCCGCGCCCGGCCGCAUUCUCGGGGCCCGAGGCUCAGCCGCUCGCGGUGGAGAAAGCAGGCCGCGGAGGAGGCGGGCGCCCAGGCCUGCCCGGACAGGAAGUGGGCCCAGCUUUCCCACUCCUCGCUCCGCUCCUUCCUCCGCGGGAAGGGCAGGCCCCGGAGGCAGCGAGCGCCCCGGGGGUGGCCGGGCAGCCGGAUGCUCCCGGGGUUGCGGGCUGUGGCCCCGGGGGCUGAGGGCGGCGCGGGUGCGGCGGAAGCAGGGAAGCCGCGAACCGGCCUUCUGGCUGGCCACAGCGCCCUGCACGGACGAUCAGUGAAUGGAGAUUACUCAAGUAUUUAUCGAGAACUUGCAGUGGGCUAGGCACAGUUCAGGUAGAUCAACAAACCGAAAGACCCUGCCCUAGGGGAGCUUUCGCUCCAAUGCGGGGAGAGGGUGGAUGAUUGCAGUUUUGCCCAGUAAUUUUUGGGACCCUCAUGCCACCAUUAAUUAGCUACACACAUUUCACCGAAAGUCUACCUUACAUAUUAAUCAGAAGAAGUGGAAGAAUAAACACAGAAGAAGCAAAAAAGGAAGGAACUUUCUCACUGAAAGUUUCUAUUUAAUAUUAAGUCUUAAAAGUACUCCUGGAAGGACAAAAGGUGUUCUUAAUAAAUUAUAUUCGCAAAUAUUGGAUUUAAUCCUACCAGUAAUGAAGCAGUCAGUUACUUUCUAGAUGUGCAGAAAUACGUAAUGAACAAAAAAAACUAAUUCCUAUUCCAUUUUUUAUUAGGUCCACAGUUAUUUCACUUCUAAAUAAAUAUGGUUUUUUAAAAGUGGCACGCGGUGGAAUGUAAUUGAGACAGGAUGGAGUUCCUAGAGAAAUUUUACUUCCUCAAUCUGCACUCCACCUUACUUAAAAUACAGUCUUGGGUCUGUAAUUCCCUUAUCUGACUCUCAAGGAAAUGACAAAGUAAUGCCUAGAUUGGACUAAACCUCAUUUAACUUCAAGGCUGACCUUUCUCAAAGUUGAACCUUCGUCUUGUGAGGAACAGAAAGAUCAAGAACUCUGAAGCACCUCGACUUUCCACCUGUGAAGAUGUGUUCAAAUUUGCAACGUGCGGCCACACCUAUGAGGUCACUCCCUCUGGAGGAAACCAGCUGCCACUUUGUGAGGAUACUCAUAGUCCUGUGGAGGCAUAUCCUCCAUAUGGCUGAGACCUCCUGCGAACAACCAUCACUGACUUGCCAGACAUGAGUGUGCCACCUUGGAAGCAGAUUUUCCAGCCCCAGUUAAGCCUUCAGAUGACAUCAGCCCCUGCUAAUCUCUUGACUACAACCUCAUGAGAGACCCUGAGCCAGAACUAGCCAGGAUCUCGCUUUGUCACCCAAGUUGGAGUACAGUGAUACAGUCUUGGCUCACUGCAGCCUUAACCUGCUAGGCUCAAGUGAUUCUCCUGCCUCGGCCUCCCGAGUAGCCGGGACUACAGGACCAGCUUGAAGUGUUUCAGGACACUUCUCUCUGUGUGUGCCUCUUGAUUUUGUUCAGAAGCCCAGUACUAUGGAAUACUCUAUCGCAGUGAUAAUUAACUACUCGAUAUGCAAAACACAGACAAAUCUCACAAACAUAAUGUGGAGCAAAAGAAGCCAGAAACAGAAGAGUACUGUGAAAUCCCAUUUAUGUCAAGCUCAAAACCAGGCAAGACCAAUCUGUGAUGUUAGAAGUCAGGAUAGUGGUCCCUUUGUUGGUGGUUGUGGCUGGGAGGGGCUAGAGGGCUCCAGGAGUGCUGGUAAUGCACUAAUUCUUUGUCUGGGUGCUGUUUACACAAUGUGGACAUACUGGGCUGUCCAUUUAUGAUCUGUGCACAUUUCUGUACGUAUGCUGUAUUUCAAUCAAAAGUCUCAAAAAAAAAAAAAAAAAAGAGAGAGAAAGAGAGAAACCAGAAUGUAAUCUUGUGAAAUAAGUAGUCACAGGAAGUAUGAACUAUGUGCCAACCAAAAUAAGCCUCUGAGGAUUGGUGAGGCUGGAGAACAGUAUCAUAGGGCUAAGAGUCAGAGAACCUGAUUUCCAGUCCCACUUCUGUUAUUCACUGGCAAAAGGAUGCUGGAAACUUAGCUCCCCUCAACUCAUAACAGCCAGUGAUUAAAUGAAGGCCUUCAGGAAAAUCUAAAGAUGUUCCCCAUUCCAUGCCUUGCCAGGAAAGGUUAAGGAUCCCAGCUGAAGACCAAACACGAAGAAACUUGGAUGACUAGUAACAAUCUCAUGUUUGUAUAAUGCUUCCCACUCCCAAAGCACUUUCAUAAUCAUUAUGCCAUUUGAUUUUUCAUAAUAAGAUCAGGAACGCAGGCUCUAGGGCCAGACUGGCUGGGUUGGAAUCCUAGCUCCAUCUGUUGCUAGCUGCUUGACCUUGGGCACAUCGUCCCUCUGCCUCAGUUUCCUUAUCUGCAAAACAGGGACAUGAGGGGAUUCAAUGAAUUUAACAUGAAAAACAUUUACAAUGAUGCCUACCACAAAGUUAUCAUUUGAUAAAUGUUAGUUAAAACAGGAACAAAAGUCCAGAUAGUGUUAUCUAGAUUUUAUAGCUGAAGAAACUGAGGCUCACAGGUUAUCACAAGACUAAUUCACAGCAGAUCCAGAACUGAAACCCAGGCCUUCUGGGUUACAACACUGACUUGUUAGGUUAUCUGGAAUAAUCUAAAUGGACUUGUCUAUUUUUAUGUGAUAAUAAUAAUAACAAUAAUAACAAUAACACUACCUUUUACUGAGUACUCACUAAGUGUUUUACAUACUAUGUCUCAUUUAAUCCUCAUAAGAAUCUAUGAGGCACGUGUUGUUAUCCCCAUUUUAAAAAGGGACAAACUGAGGACUAAACAUUGAGAAAGCAAACCUGGAUCACCCAGCUAGUGACAGGGAAGGCCAGAUUCUGAAUGCAGGUCUCUGCAAACCCAGGACCUGCGUUUUCAACCACUUACAUUCCAUAACCUCUGGAUAGAAAAAGACCACCAUGGUUACUGCUUUAUAAACAUUUGGGGGUUUCUGGGACAAAUUGGGUGAUUUUUGUAAGUUCCCCAAGGUCAGAAAGAGCCCUUCUUAUCCAUCUUUCAUCCUUCUCCUGUGCAUCAGGUACUGGACCUCCAUAGGUGUCCCAGAGGCUCCCAUGGAAGGAUUUGCAAAUCAGGUUCCAAGAGCUUAAAAAGCCAGGCUUAGUAGUGGAGAGGCACCAGAUGAACUCUUGAUAGCCCAGGCAAGAACUGGGCACCAGCAGCAUUACUUGAUGGUGUCAAAGAGGUAGAGGACCAAAUGCCAGGAUGCAGAGGGAGCCAUGGUGCCUGGACACAGAGACUUUGCCACAGCUAUCAAGUUUGCAAAAUGAAAACAAAGGGAGAGAUUAAUGAGACUCCACCUAGAAGCAGCCACUCCUGGACAGGCUGCCCUUCCUAGAUGGCUUCAGAUGGCUGCCAGGGAACAUCUGCCUGGUUAAGAUUUCAAGUGAAGACCUAAUCGAAGCAGCCCUUUGGCAGGCUUUGCACUGGCCGGCCUGACUCUGACAUACGCUCCGAUGCCCACACAUGGUUGUGGCUGGCAGCUCAGACAGACACGACUGUUUUGGCUUCUGUCAUUUCUUUUUCUUCCUCCAGGCGCUCAAGUUCUUGAUCCCAGCUCGCCUGAUUAGGGGUCGUCAUCAGUCCGCGCACCCUGCCUGUACUUCCUGGGGCCCCCUGGUGGAUGAUCAAAGGAUAAAGGGAUAGUUGGAGGCAGGAAAGAGAGAGUUGGGGAUGAUAGUGCAGUGGACUGUGUGGAUCUUUCCCCAUAGGCUUCUAAGAAGUCUUUUGUGAAUAUCUCUCUCGUCCCCCACUGGGUGAAUGAUUUACUAUGACUAAAGGGGCCACACACACAACAGCUCUCACCCUGGAAUGGACUUUGAGAGGGAAGCAAAAGGAAGCAUUGCCUUCUUUCCUGGACUUCCCUUUGGAGCACCCCACAACUCUCAGGGGAUUUAGAAGGUAACACAUUUAGAGCUUUCCCAAAAGAAUGUGCAGCUGUGGCUUGAGCAAAAGGUGUUUACUCCCACGGAGGUGGGAUUUUUAUUGCUAGUUUCAACAUCAAGUAGGUGUGAAAGUUAUAUACAAAUCCUGACAAUCAAUACCACCUGAGAAAGGCGAGAAAGAGGGCUGCAUGGGCCAAUGCUUCACAAACUUAAGGUGCACAGCUUGGAAGCAUUGAAUUGUGGGGGGUGGGGAUCUUGUAAAGUGAAGAUUCUGAAUGAGUAGGUGUGGGGUAUGGCCCACAGUCUGUGUUUCCAACAUGCUUCUGCCACAGGAAGACUGCUCUGGACUAAGAAAUAGUCCUGUGCAUUUCUUAGCACCAACGCUCACCUCCCCCCACCAAAAACAUGAAAUAAAACAAAACAGGGACAUUGCAUUUCCUGGAAGUGUCUUACAUGACACCAAUUAAAACUAUCUUUUUUUCUUGCUCAUAAAUAUAUUCUUUUUCCUUUUUUUUGAGACGGAGUCUCUCUUUUUUGCCCAGGCUGGAGUGCAGUGGUGUGAUCUCAGCUCACUGCAACCUCCGCCUUCCAGGUUCAAGCAAUUCUCCUGCCUCAGCCUCCUGAGUAGCUGGGAUUACAGGAGUGUGCCACCACACUCGGCUAAUUUUUUGUAUUUUUAGUAGAGAUGGGGUUUCACUAUGUUGGCCAGACUGGUCUUGAACUCUUGACCUCAAGUGAUCCACCUGCCUCGGCCUCCCAAAGUGCUAAGAUUAUAGGCGUGAGCCACUGUGUCUAGCCUAGAAAUGUAUUCUUUUUUUUUUUUUUGAGAUGGAGUUUCGCUCUGUCGCCCUGGCUGGAGUGCAGUGGUGCCAUCUCGGCUCACUGCAACCUCUGCCUCCUGGGUUCAAGUGAUUCUCCUGCCUCAGCCUCCCGAGUAGCUGGGACUACAGGCGUGCACCACUACACCCAGCUAAUUUUUGUAUUUUUAGUAGAGAUGGGGUUUCUCCCAGCUAAUUUUUGUAUUUUUAGUAAAGAUGGAGUUUCACCAUGUUGGUUGGCCAGGAUGGUCUCGAUCUCUUGACCUCGUGAUCCACCCGCCUCAGCCUCCCAAAGUGCUGGGAUUACAGACAUGAGCCACCGCGCCCAGCCAAAACUUAUUCUAAAAGGUUUGACUGAUGUACAUAAAAAUCACUGGAAAACAUAGUUAUAGGUAAAUUUUAUUAUUUCUUUGUGUUUUUCUACAUUUCCCAAACUUUCUACAAAUGAACCUAUAUUGUUUUUAUUUUUCUCGAAGGCUAAGUUUGAAACAUCUUGUGUUGUUUCAAGACCUUUCUUUUCCCCCGGUGCUAGCUAGACCAGAAUGGAUUGUUUAACAUCUCAGGGCAGAUGUCUGAACCUUUGCAGGUGUUGGGAGACUCAGAAUCUUCUGGUGUUGAGGAGACCAAGCUUGGUCAGGUCGGGACCAUGUUGAAUCACUGUUUAACACUGAAGGAAGGCCAGGGAAGGCCUGUGAGGGACACGCAGUCUCUGCCUCCUGAGGUCAUGCUGAUCGCUUGCUGGCCCAAGUCUAAUUUAUUUUAGUUUCUAUGUCUGUGAACAAGGCCAAUGUGCAUGAAUGAUGGUCUGGCAUCUCGAUCCAUGUUUACAAAUCAAUGAGCAGACCACCUAAAUCAGUGAACUGUGCAUUUUAUAGAUGAGAAAAGGCAAGUUGGGGGAAAGAGACUGGAGAGGGUGGUGGUAAUUAUAGAAAUGAGACUUUCAUAACUCAAGUUUCCAUCCCAUGGCGUUUUCUUUAAAUAAGGGAUUCCCAAUCUUCAGAAGCACUAGUGCAGUAUAACUUUGGAUAAACACAGUUCUGUCUUAUCAGCACAUUGUUUUGUAUUCAAUAGGUACUCAAUGUUUAAUAUGUUAUAAAAUAUAAUUUUUGAAUACAUUUUUUUUCUGUGAUGGUCGGAGCACACAGCACAGAGCAAUUUUAGGAAAUUGCCAUGCUUUCCAAUAGUAGCUAUAAGCUUUGUGUAUCCAGUCACCCAGGACCUAUUUGUUAGAUAGGAUAAAAGAACAUUGAAGUGACAAGAUUUGACAGAAAAUCUAGGCAAUACCAUUCAGGACAUAGGCAUGGGCAAAGACUUCAUGACUAAAACACCAAAAGCAAUUGCAACAAAAGCAAAAAUUGACAAAUGGGAUCUAAUUAAACUAAAGAGCUUCUGCUCAGCAAAAGAAACUAUCAGAGUAAACAGGGAACCUACAAAAUAGGAGAAAAUAUUUGCAAUCUGACCAAGGUCUAGUACCCAGAAUCUACAAGGAACUUAAACAAAUUUACAGGAAAAAAACAAGCAAGCCCAUCAAAAAGUGGGCGAAGGAUAUGAACAGAUACUUUUCAAAGGAAGAAAUUUAUGCAGCCAACAAAUAUAUAAAGAAAAACUCAUCAUCACUGGUCAUUAGAGAAAUGCAAAUCAAAACAACAAUGAGAUAUCAUCUCGUGCCAGAUAGAAUGGCGAUCAUUAAAAAGUCUGGAAACAAUAGAUGCUGGUGAGGCUGUGGAGAAAUAGGAACACUUUUACACUGUUGGUGGGAGUGUAAAUUAGUUCACCCAUUGUGGAAGACAGCGUGGCAAUUCCUCAAGGAUCUAGGACCAGAAAUACCAUUUGACCCAGCAAUCUCAUUACUGGGUAUAUACCCAAAGGAUUAAAAAUCAUUCUACUAUAAAGACACAUGCACACGUAAUGUUUAUUGCAGCACUAUUUACAAUAGCAAAGACUUGGAACCAACCCAAAUGCCCAUCAAUGAUAGACUGGAUAAAGAAAAUGUGGCACAUACAUACCAUGGAAUACUAUGCAGCCGUAAGAAAGAAUGAGUUCAUGUCCUUUGCAGGGACAUGGAUGAAGCUGGAAACCGUCAUCCUCAGCAAACUAACACAGGAACGGAAAACCAAACACCACGUGUUCUCACUCAUAAGUGAGAGUUGAACAAUGAGAACACAUGGACACAGGGAGGGGAACAUCACACACCGGGGUCUGUUGGGGAGCGGUGGACAAGGGGAGAGAGAGCAUUAGGACAAAUACCUAAUGCAUGCUGGGCUUAAAACCUGGAUUAUGGGUUGAUAGGUGCAGCAAACCACCACGGCACAUGUAUACCUAGGUGACAAAGCUGCACGUUCAGCACAUGUAUCCCAGAACUUAAAGUAAAAUUAAAAAAAAAAAAAAAAGAACAUUGAAGUGACAAGAUUUGGGAGGACUGAAACAAAACAGACUACAAGGAACAGGAGAAAAGGGACAAUUGUAAGAGUGGUAAUAUUCUUUUAUAUUUAUGCACGUAAGAUGGCUGUACUGGUUUCAAGCAUCUGACUUUUAAUAUUUGAAGAAAUAAAAUUCUUGCUUAGGUCCUUCCACCCGCUGUUCAAGAUUGAAGAUUGACCUUCUGUUACCAUCUUAGCUGAUCUGUCUGCUGCUGCCUUUUUGCUUGUCCUACUCAGUUUUAAGUAAUUUUCAUCCUUCAUGCUCUGGGCUGCAAAAAUAAAUAUAAGCAACAUUUGCUGUCUUCA
rnacentral:lncRNA from 1 species